rnacentral:lncRNA from 1 species
GGGGCCGGACAACGGAUAUUCGACUUAUCAUCGUUAUCCUGUCUGAAUACGUUGGACACUACUCGACUAUCAGACUCUACGGAAUGAUCAUGUCAACGAGCUACGUUCGGAGAUUGGCCGACACUCGGUCUAACGUGCACGCCCGACCAAAGUCCGGGCGGUGGACACUCGACUUACAAUCGGCAUGACUUUCGACCAUCGGAUCCUACGCUAUCUGUAUGACGAUCGGGAUGCCGGCCUGUGGUCGGGGCUUACACUGCCCUUAGCACGGCGCACACCACUGACUACUUUGAUCCUACCGAACGUCCUAACGAGGUAUGUCGGAGCUACGA